CUGAGAUUCAGCAACUUGAGAUGGUGCUGCUGAUAAUAAUAACUUUUUACUGAUAGCCACUUUCAUUCAAGACUCUCAAGGUUGUUUGAACAUUAUCCUGUUAAUCUGGCUGAAGGGGUUUUAAAAAGUGCCAGAUGCAGAACCCUCUGCCCAGCUUGGGAGAAGUUUGGAUGUGAUCCAGGGCUUCUUUGCUUCAUUGUCUAUAACUAAAAGAUCCUAAUAUCUCCUGGAGGUAAGAUUUAUGUGCAAAUCAGAGAUACACUGGUGGUGAGCCACAUAAAACCUCUUUUGGCUAGUGCUAGAGGCGCUGUUGUUCUGAGAGUAUGAAAUAAGACAUCCUGUUCCCAAUCAGAUUUUUAUUUUUGAUCUUUCAUGUGACUAAAUUCUGGGAAACUUUAAGAAAACACAGACUGCUAUUCAUUUCAAAAGGAUCAGGAUUAAAACUAAAGAUAGACAUAACCUUUUUCACCCCUAAGCUGCUUUUGAGAAAUUAGGUGCAUCUUUAUUUUGGCUUAGUCUUUGCUCGCAUCUUUUGAGGUGCUGGGAUGCCAUUUAAAGUAGAGCUGUGCUUCCAACAAUGCCUUUUGCUCAGCUGAGCUAAAGGAAAGCAAUACAGAACAGCAAGUACAUAAAUCAUCUUCCUCCAGCAGAUCCCUCUUCUAUUAACAUUCUCCUUGGUGCCAGUGACAGAGAAGUAUUAAAGCAGCACUUUUUUUUUUUUUUUUUUCUCUAGGACAGCCACUUUUGCUGUUGUCAAUAUAAUCACAGCUGUUCUUGGUCUGAGACAUUAAACAAAGUCCCAGGUGCUCAUUAUAUGGAGAUGAAUAAUUAACUUACUAUUUUAAAAAAGAAGCCUUGCUUUUUAAUAAGCAGUUCUUCAAAUGUUCAGGCUACAGGAAAGGGAGCUGGAGGCUGGGUGACAAUGAAUGCAGCAAGGUCAGCUCUCUGGAAAGGACACACGCUUCUGGAGUGGAAAGACUCCAGCCUUGCCCUCCCCUGCAGUAACCUCUUGUGGUUGAAUGCCUGCUGUUCAGUUUUGUCUUUGGGCCACAUGUCUCUAAGAAAGGUCUUAUCUCAGUCACUACCCUUGAAAAUCCACUAUUUCAUUUUUGAGCUGACCCUGGCGUUCCUGGUGCCAUGGUGGCACGUCUGCUGCUGCCCCUGUCCCUGGGGGGUGCCUACCCCAGCCUGCAGCUGGGACAGCGGCCCUGGAACCCCUGCUGAUGCCAUGGAGAGCCAAACCCAAGCACAAUGCAUGUCAGGCUCUGCGCAGCCUUUCCUGAAUCUCUCCCAGUUUCUCUAGGCUAGCUACUAAUACAACCCACCUGGCUUUCUCCCAUCCAAAAAAUGAAAAAAGAGGCAAGUUCCCAGAAAGAAAACAACAGGGAAGCAAGGAUAUUACACAGAGAAUGUAUCAGCUGUGUGAUUUUUAUGUAACAACAAUUUUAGGAGGUUUCAACUCAUUUUUGUAUCGUAGUAACAUCUUUUUGUGCUGCUGCAGCUACGACUGGGCUGCACUCUGAAAUGGAUCAGCAGGAGAUCCAAAAAAAAAAAAAAAAGCCUUUAAUCAGGUCCAAAAGCAUUGGUCUCAUUCUGAUUCCUGCAACUAGUUUGCAGCUCCAUAGAGAGAGGUCUAGGCCCAAGCUGGAAGGUGGGAAAAUGUAGCUGGGAGGUGGCCAACAGCUCCUCAAGCCGCUGGUCCUCCAAGGGACCGCAGUGAGGAGCCAGUCCCACACACACCCUCCUGUGGAGGCAAGUGCAAAGGGUGUGUGUGCAGGCAUCCUGCUGGAUUUGCCCCAGUAGCAGACUCUUUUUGGUGCUCAGUUGCAAAGCACCACAAUGAACAAUGCUGUCACCAGGCUUGCAGCUUAUCAAGGAGGGCAGCUGGAUCACAGAGUCACAGACAGCUGCUUUGGGAAGGGACUCAGCCUGCUAACAGUGCCUGUACUGCCAUAUGACGUUCUGCAAGAGUGAGUUUUGCCUUAUAAAGUGUGUGGUGCCUCUAUCCCUAAAUUCCUGGCUUUUGAAAGAGAGGUAGAAGCUUGCAGAUCAUUCAGGAAUGUGAAUGGAGCAACUAAUGUUUAAAGGAAGUAGUAGGUGUAUAUUUUGAUCUUGAACUGCAGCAACGUUAGUGAGUACAGAUGGGGAUGUGGCAAUAAUGUUAAGGGAAGUAUUGGUCAGUUUUGCGUUUCUUGUGGCUAUUGUUGAAUGAAAUGCAGCUGAAAAGAGAGAAGAGAUUGCAUGCAAUGUUUCUUUUUAUUUUAUUUUUUGGUAAUGUGAAUGCAAGCUAAUCCCAACAGGACUAGUCAUUGAUGUUUCAAAAAACUACCCCUGGAAACACAGAUAUUUCAAGAAAUGUUUAAAACAACAACAAACAAAGAGUAAGAGCCAUUCAAAGAGACUGGGAAUGUUAUAAGGACAAAAGUAUCCCAGUGGGAAGUGUCUGAAUUAGAAGAGAUGUAAGAGGAUGCUGUGAAGUAGAUGAUUGCUCGUUGGGCGAAGGAAAGAAUCAACGCAUCAGGGUGAGCUUCUCCCAGAGCGAAUGUCCAUAUAUCCAGGACAAGGCAGUUUUCUAUCUCACUGUUCCUCUUCCGUGACUUUCCUCCCUGAAAGAUGUACUCCCUGCACAGGACUGUCUCCUCCGAAGUCAUUGAUUCUUUCAGCUCUUAGCUCUGUAAAAAGACCCUUGUGGGUUAGCAGCACAUAAACUCAGUAACCAUAGUCUGCUUUGAGAGACUGUCAAUAUAGAAGGCUCCAUCAGUUCUCUGUUUGUUUACAUUGGUAUGUAUUCCAAAUUGCUGUCUCUAAUACCUGGGCCAGACUUGGAACUAAUUUACUGAACAUACCUGGUGUUUCACUUCCUGAAAGGGUCGAAUUAAAGUGGUGUUAAAGUAACAAACGUACUCAAAGAGCUUUAGCACAAAAUGUUAUGAAGAUUUGCAUUAGUUCCAGGCAUUAGAGCUGAAUAUUUUAGAUGUUUCAUAGUAUGCACUGGGUUCCUUUUAGUUACCUUUGUAAAAUCCAGUCCAUGCUAUGGAGGUAAUGCAGCAUUUGGAUUGCAAGGGCACGUAGUACAACACCAAGCAUCAGUUCACCACGGAUAUUUUUACACGAUAUCAGUCUGUACAGUAUGUCAGUCUUCUCUAGGGCAAAGCUGAGCCAGCAUAUCAGAAAGAAUGUAUUUUUGGCUCCUUCCUCAAGUGUAAGCAUCCUGGCUAAUCCCACAUAGGUCAUCUGAUCAUCCCUUUUUAUUCUUCCCACAAUAUGGGAUAAAGAUUUCACUACUUCCCAGGAAAGCUGUGAGAAUAAAAACUCAAAUGCUACUUCAGGAAGAUUUUAUGAAGUACCUUGGCAGAUAGUCAGUCUGCACCCAGCACCUUUCUUUCACGUUUUUCCUCACAGAGAGGAAUUCAAAAGACAUUGAAAAUGUGUGGUGUCUGUUCACCUCCCAGUAAUUCAUUCCACUGAAAGAAAGAAUAGC
rnacentral:lncRNA from 1 species